UAACGCGGUAGCAAUACUGGCGACGACCGGCGCACGGGUGCGUAACGCGUAUGCAAUUUGCCCAUAACUGGGGGAUAGCCCGGAGAAAUCCGGAUUAAUACCCUAUAGUAUGUAGAGGAGGCAUCUCCAUUACGUUAAAGAUUUAUCGGUUAUGGAUGAGCAUGCGUCUGAUUAGCUAGUUGGUAAGGUAAUGGCUUACCAAGGCUACGAUCAGUAGGGGGUCUGAGAGGAUGAUCCCCCACACUGGUACUGAGAUACGGACCAGACUCCUACGGGAGGCAGCAGUAGGGAAUAUUGGGCAAUGGACGAGAGUCUGACCCAGCCAUGCCGCGUGUAGGAAGAAGGCUUUCUGAGUUGUAAACUACUUUUGAUCGGGAACAAAAGAUCCUUGCGAGGAGCAUUGAGUGUACCGAUAGAAUAAGCACCGGCUAACUCCGUGCCAGCAGCCGCGGUAAUACGGAGGGUGCAAGCGUUGUCCGGAUUUAUUGGGUUUAAAGGGUGCGUAGGCGGCUAAUUAAGUCAGCGGUGAAAUUCCAGAGCUCAACUCUGCGAACUGCCAUUGAUACUGGUUGGCUUGAGUACAGAUGAGGUAGGCGGAAUUGACAGUGUAGCGGUGAAAUGCUUAGAUAUUGUCAAGAACACCUAUUGCGAAGGCAGCUUACUAAACUGUAACUGACGCUGAGGCACGAAAGCGUGGGGAUCAAACAGGAUUAGAUACCCUGGUAGUCCACGCCGUAAACGAUGAUUACUCGAUGUGUGCGAUAGACAGUACGCGUCCAAGCGAAAGCGUUAAGUAAUCCACCUGGGGAGUACG
rnacentral:rRNA from 1 species